AUACGUAGGGGGCAAGCGUUAUCCGGAAUUACUGGGCGUAAAGGGUGCGCAGGUGGCCUGACAAGUCAGGGGUCAAAGGCAACGGCUCAACCGUUGUAAGCCCUUGAAACUGUCGGGCUUGAGUUCAGGAGAGGCAAGCGGAAUUCCUAGUGUAGCGGUGAAAUGCGUAGAUAUUAGGAGGAACACCAGUGGCGAAGGCGGCUUGCUGGACUGAUACUGACACUGAGGCACGAAAGCGUGGGGAGCAAACAGGAUUAGAUACCCUGGUAGUCCACGCCGUAAACGAUGAGUACUAGGUGUCGGCCCUAAGGGUCGGUGCCGCAGUUAACACAUUAAGUACUCCGCCUGGGAAGUACGCUCGCAAGAGUGAAACUCAAAUGAAUUGGCGGGG
rnacentral:rRNA from 1 species